AAAGAGAAGCAAGGCAUAUAGGUUAUACAACCCUCUUACCAAGAAAGUCAUUAUUUCAAGAGAUGUCGAAUUCGAUGAAGCUGAUUAUUGGAGAUGGAGUGUAGAAGAAAAGAAAAUUGAAGGAUUAUUUUCAGUGAUGACAAAGACUACGACUUCGUUAAUCAUGAACAAGGCGACGAACAAAGCCCUCCUUCAAGUCCUGUUGUAACAACUCCUACAACAUCAUCAUCACCAGCCAGCAGCAAUACCAGCAAUUCAGAGGAAGCACCUGCAAGAAUGCGUAGUUUACGCGAUAUUUAUGAGGUUACAGGACCCAUAGAAAUAAUACUUGAUUAUUCAUUAUUAUGUUUAAUGACAGAAUGUGAUCCAAUAAUAUAUGAAGAUGCAAUUAAAGACGUCAAAUGGAAGAAUGCAAUGGAUGAAGAAAUUACAGCAAUAAGAAAAAAUGACACAUGGGAGCUAACAAAUCUACCAGAAGGAUAUAGUCCAAUUGGAGUCAAAUGGGUGUACAAGAUGAAUACCAACAAAGAAGGAAAAGUGGAGAAAUACAAAGCAAGACUAGUUGCAAAAGGCUACAAGCAAAGAUAUGGUGUAGACUAUGAUGAAGUAUUUGCUCCAGUCGCCAGAAUUGAUACUAUAAGGCUUCUCAUGGCAAUUGCAGCACAAAAUAAAUGGAAAAUUUAUCAGAUGGACAUGAAGUUAGUAUUCUUUAAUGGCUACUUGGAAGAAGAAGUCUACAUUGAACAACUACAUAGAUAUUGCAAACAAGGACAAGAAGACAAAGUUUAUCGCUUGAAGAAAGCUUUAUAUGGGCUAAAGCAAGCUCCGAGAGUAUGAAACACAAGAAUAGAUGAAUACUUUAAGAAGAACGGGUUUAUGAAAAGCCCAUACGAACAUGCUCUAUAUAUGAAGAAAAAUGAAGUUGGUGACAUCAUGAUUGUGUGCUUAUAUGUGGAUGAUAUAAUUUUCACGGGAAACAAUCCAGGUAUGUUCAAUGACUUUAAGAAAGCUAUGACUAAAGAAUUUGAAAUGACAGAUAUAGGUGAAAUGUCAUACUUUCUUGGAGUCGAAGUGAAACAAAUGAAAGAUGGAACAUUUGUGUCUCAAAAGAAGUAUGCAAAACAAAUUUUAAGAAAAUUCAAUAUGAAAGAUUGCAAGCCAGUAGCCACGCCAGCAGACCCAAGUACGAAAUUAAGUGUUGAUUCAUCCAGAGUGCCGGUAAAUCUAACGUUGUUUAAAAGUAUCAUUGGAAGUUUAAGGUACAUGACUAUCAUGCGGCCAGACAUCAUGUACGCAGUGGGAAUAAUUAGCAGAUACAUGGAGAAGCCAAAACAAGAUUACUUGAUUGCAGCAAAGAGAAUUUUGAGAUACAUCAAAUGUACGAUGGAUUAGGGUCUAUUUUAUACAUACUCACAGAGUUCAAAAUUGUUUAGUUAUUCAGAUAGUGAUUAUAGUGGUGACUUGGAUGAUCGCAAAAGCACAUCCGAUAUUUAUUCCAUAUUGGCUCUGUAGCAUUUUCAUGGUAAUCGAAAAAUCAACAAAUAGUAGCCCUUUCAACAUGUGAAGAAGAAUACAUGGCUGUAGCAACAUGCACAUGUCAAGCAAUUUGGUUGAAGAAUAUUUUGGGUGAAUUAUCUAUUAUACAAGAAGGUCCAAUUACAAUUUAUAUUGACAACAAGUCCACAAUAUCUCUUGCAAAGAAUCCAGUGUCUCAUAGUCGAAGCAAGCAUAUUGAUAUAAAGUAUCAUUUUAUUCGAGAGCAAGUGAAAAAUAAAAAUGUGGAGUUAGUUUACUGCAUAAUAGAAGAUCAACUGGCGGAUAUUUUUACGAAGCCAUUGAAAGCAGACAUAUUUCAUAAACUCAAAGAAAAGCUUGAAAUAAAAAGUUCGGUUUGAGGGGGAGUGUUAGAAAUCAAACCAACUUUUCAAAGUCAAAAAUUGCAACCAAAGAGUUUGUAUCCAAAUUGGCUUCUACCUCAUACAUCUUGGUUUUCAAAUUGAAUACAACUUUGCAAAUUGGAUAAAGCUUAUCAUGUUGGAAACUUCAUGAAAAAUCAAGAUGGUACCAACAUUGAAAAGUUCUACAAGGUAAUGCAUGUACAAUGGAUAAGCAUUAUCAUUUAUGAUAUACUUAAGGGAUAAGCAAUCGUUAACGUAACUAGACUAUGUCUAUAUAUAUGUAUGUAUAGUUCAAGUAAGUGAGUGUUGAAAAAAUUAGUGAGUUUGAAAGAAAAAAAAAAGUGCUGUGAGUAUAGAAAGAAAAACUAGCAGCAGCUAGUAUAGAGAGAAAAAAUAAAAGAGAGUUUGUAUUGUGUUUUGUAUUUUGUUUAUUUGUGUGUAAUAAAAUUAGUAUUUGAGUUAUUUUUAUUACUAUGCUUCCAAAAAAUGUCCCAUUAGAAGAUCAAUAUGACUCUGUAUGACCAUCUAUAUCUUGGGGCAUUCAAAAUACAACAUUCAACCUUAAUGGAAAUGUUGUUGACCCGGAUACAGAAGAAGUGCAAGUUGAUGUUGCAUCCAUUGAUGGAAAUAAUUCUGAAUUUAGUAAUCCUUAUGUAGACAAUGCACUGGAGGAAGUGAAUGCUGAAGAAGUGAUGAUGAUUCUAAUUCAAACCAAGGCGUCCCACUGAAUACUAUUGAAAUCCAAGCUUACUCCAACUGACUCAGUUUGGUUCUUCCACCGCAUGAACCUCGAUCUUAUAUGCUUAACAUCAACUUAAAUGCAAUGCAUGCCAUAGGAUUUCUCGAAUAUGCUCAUGCAUUAUUGGCCCAUGUGAUGUGUUAUGAUGCACGUAUUGGAGAUUUACACAUGGAUUUACAAUUCCCAACAAAUGAGGCUAUUGUAGGAGCCAUUAAGGAGCACGACUUUAAACUUGAUGUAGAUUAAAAAGUAGCCAUUUCUACAACAACCAAAUAUGUUGGUGAGUGUUGGAAAGGUAAUUAAUGAUGCAAAUGGAGGAUUAGGGUAGCGUUAAUGAAAAAGAAACAAAUAUGCGAAAUUUGAAAAUAUGAGGGUACUCGUGCAUGCACAACUGCAGGGCUAAAGAGGGAUCAUCACAAAUUGGAUUCAAUGUUUAUUUGCAAAUGCAUAAUCUUGUUGGUUAGAGAAAAUAUGAUACUUUAGGUGUCAGUACUAAUAGUUGAUAUGCAGUCUCUAUUCGAAUAUUCCAUCACAUACUAAAAAGCUUGGAAAGCGAAGCUAAAGGCCAUGAGGGAAUUGUACGCUAAUUGGGACAAUUCCUACAAUGAGCCGCAAAGAUGGAUAGUUGGGUUGUGGGAGUUUGUUCCUAGUUUCAUAAUGUCACCCGAGGUGCAAAGACCUAAGCAAGGCUAAACACGAGACUAAAUCUUAAAAAUCAAAUCAAAGUAGAGCCGUCACAAACCAGUUUGAACUAGAUCGGUUAGCCACCUAUCACAUAAAGUUUCAAGACUAAACUUAAAGAAAAACCCUAAAAUCUAAGCUCGAUCUCAAUACCAAAGAUGUGUUAGGGAGUACAUUUGCGCAUAAAGAAGGCUAUAGCACCUCUAUAACACUUAUCCAAAAACAAACCUAUCAGGUUCAAGAAUUAGGAUUUCCUAUCUAGAAAUCUAAUUAUGACUCCAACCCGAUUUUUUAAAAAAAAAAUUCUAACUUAAAACAAAUUAAAAAUUUUAAAUGUAUUUGAAAACUUGGAAAUCCAAUCUUAAAAACCUAAAAUCUAAUUUACUUAAAUUUAAUUUAAAAGCUAAUCUUAAUAAAAACUUAAAAAUCUAAUGGAAAGAAAUAUAACCUAAGAUUAACAUUAAUUAAAAAUAAUAAUCUAAAUUAAAUUUAAAUCUAAUCAAACUCAAAAUUCAAAAUCUACUAAUAUUUACAAAAUCUAUACCUAAUCAAACUUAAAAAUCUAAAUCUAAAUCUAAGUAUAAACUUAAUCAAAAUAAAACUUAAAGUCUAAUCCUAAUUAAAUCUAAUCGAACUUACAAUCUAGUCAUAAUAAAACGUAAGAUGUAAUUGAAAUUGACAAGAUUUAAAUCUAACUUAAAAUAAAAUAUUAAAAUCUAAUAAAAAUAUAAAGUUCUAAAAUAUUUAAAAUAUCAGACAAAAAUCUUAAAAUCUAAUAUAAAAAUACAUAUAACCUUAAAAUCUAAUAUUUAAAAUCUUAAAUAAAAACUUAAAAUCUAACCUAAUAUGAAAGAUGCUAAAAAAAUCUAAUAUUAAUAUUUAAUAAAAAAUCUAAAAAUCCAAAAUUUAAAAUCUGUGAGAACUAAAUUAAAAAUCUAAUCCAAAACCUAUAUUAAAAAUAAUAUAAACAUAAUCUAAAAUAAAAUGUCCUAAAUUCAACACACAAAUCCACUAACAAUAAACAAUUCAAAAUAUCCCAAAUUAAUUCAAAUAAUUAAACUGAAUAAAAUAAAAGGAUUUAAAUAAAAGUUGAAAAUAAAAAGAUGUGGUUUCGAAAUUAGAAAAAUAUAAGAAGCAGAGAGACUUAAACAGCAAUUAAGUUGCCCUAAAUUUCAAAUUUGAAAAGAAAUCGAAAAUGUUGGGGAACAAUGUUGGAAUUAGCCCCUGCGGCGCCCCCUGUUAGCAACAUCAAAAGGCUGAGGUUCACGGCACCCAUGGUGGCUGAGGACUGCUGAUCCGAUUUAUAUCCUUGUAAAUGGGCUGCAAACUUUAAAAUUACGCUCAAAAGUAAAAUAAAAAAUAAUAAUAAUAAUAAUAAAAAGAACAAUUAGGUUGCAAGUUAACUUGGGCUACAAAAAAUUUCAGAGCAAAUUCGAGCUUCAAAAAGCAAGUGGGCUUUAAAACCAUUUCGGGCCUUAACAGUUUAUCUAACAUUUAAUUUUGGUUUUAAAAAAUAACCUGAUUUGGGCUUUAAGCCCGAAAAACAAUUGUAUUCAGAAUUUUCUUCUCCUUUUUUUAAUUUCUAAAAACAAAUUUUGUUUUUAUUUCAAACAAACUUUUAAUUUUUAUUAUGAUUUCUAUAUAUAUAAUUCAUAAAACUUAAUAUAAAUCAAAUUUGAAAUAAUUAAAAUUAAUUUCAAUUUAAUUGAAUCUAACUUAACUCGAAAUUCAAAUUUUAAAAAAUAAGGCAAAAAGAAAUUAUUUUAGCCUUGAAAUAAUCUUGCUUGAAAAUUGAAUUUCCAACAAUUUGAUUCAAUUAAAUUACCUUAGAAUUGAAAUAAUCUUGCUUGAAAAAGAAAUUCAUGUCCCUUUCAAAACUUUGAAACCCAAGUCGUAAAUUAUGAAUCUUGGACAAAAUUAGAUGUCUACUCCAAGUAUGAUGGUUGAACUGUAGACUUUCAAUACACACAAUUAAUUUGGUCAAAUAGUGGAAUGUAAAAAAAUAUUUCACCGAAUAUUUUGGACAUUUGAUAGUGGUGUUUGUGCAUUUCCAUGUUGCAAGCCCAUUGUGUAAAUAGAUGAGACUUGGAUGUAUAUACCCAAAUACUGUUGAUUGCCAUUGCGCAAGACCGGGAUCAAAGAAUCUUGCUAAUACCAUUUUCCAUCAUUGAGAAAGAUGACAUGGGAUAAUGGGAAUUUUUCCUAAGAAACUUGCACUUGUCUAUAGUUAAACCGUCUCAUGUAUGUUUGAUGUCCUAUUAUGGUAAAGGCAUUCUAUUGGUAAUAAGGUGAUGUGGUGGUAUGUGGAGCCCAUCAAAUACUUAUCACGUGCACUGCUUCCAACACAUUGCUUGCAAUUUUAUGAGACAGUUCCACAAUGCUGACGAGGAUGAAGUUGUUAACAUGGUUACACGCUUGAUUCUUAAAUCUAUAGCUGGUAUUUAAUGUUUUUCUCCGUACUAAUAAUUAAUUAUAACCAAAAUUUGUUCCAAGGGUACGAGCUCCAAAGAUUUCAAUUUCAUCAAAGGAUGAAGAAGUUACGAGUGAAACAUUUGCGAGCUAGGCAAUGGCUCGAUAACAUCCCCCUUAAGGCUUGGGCUCAGUCAGACGAUGAAGGGCGCCAAUACGGGUAUAUGACUACCAACUUGAUGGAGGCCGUGAAUUUCGUUAUGAAAGGGACGUGUCAUUUGCCAUCACUUCUAUGUUUACUUUGACUUUUUGGUAAUUGUUUGCGACGAUAAAAGAGAAAUAUCAAACAUUGAUGAACGUUGGUCACACCUUCUACAAGCAACUAUUACGAACCAUGGAGGACAAUCGUAGAAAAGCACGCUUGAUGUUAGCUAAAUGUGUAUUGUGUGAAUAUGAAACUUUUAACGUGUAUGAAUUUAUAAUGCAACACACAGCUUUUCUAAAUAUGUUAUAUGGGGUAGACCUUAGCAAAGGUGGUUUGAUUGCUAGAGGUUUCAAGCACUCUAAUACUCGUGUUCUCAUGUGGUUAUGGCAUGUGUACAGCCCAAUUUUGGCCCGAGCUAAAGAACAAAGCCCAAAUGAAUUAAACCCACCCCAAACUAAACCCAACAGACCCUAGCCCAAACAAAAAAACAUAACCCAAAUUAACCCUAGCCCACAAAACUAAACAGCAAGGGAAAGGAAAAAAUUUAGGUGUCGCACCUAGGUCUCCUUAGUCCCCUCUAUCAGCGUGCACUUCGCUCGAAGGUAAACUCUCCUGGCACGCUAGCACCAAAAUGGCCACCUGCCUUCGUUGACCGAACGCAACCUGUAGAGGAAAACCAAAAACAGCAAAGAAACUAAGCAGCAGAAACAAGGCAAAUAACAGUAGAAAUAUGUAGCAAACCUUUGGUAUUCGGCUAUAAAGCCACCGAAAAGACGAUUGUAAAAAGGGGGGAAAACAUUGUAUUUAAACACAAUCAAAAAAAUAGAAAUAAAAAAGAAACGAUUUUGCUAAAGGUGAUUUACUAUUUAUAUUCUGUUGAUUUCUUUAUUUUCUUUUUAAUAUUCUUUUCAAAAACAAAUAAAUGAGAAGAGCAAAGGAACCUACUUGCGGUUUCGACCAUCGGAGACCCUUUCUCCGGCGUGGAUAUCGAACCAAGAGACGCCUCUCUUUUUCGUUGUUCCCGAGCCAUGAGCCACGAUGGGUGGAGGCGCAUGGGAUGAGGCCCUUGAGUCGGCCAAGCAAAGAAAGGAAUGGAAGAACUUUUAAGUUUUUUUUUUUUUUUUUGGAAUUAGUGUUUCAAAUGAGGGUUUUGAAAAAUUUUGGAAACAACACCGUUUCGUCUAGUCCCAAAAUGCUUCAAAACGGCACCGUUUUGAAGUCAAACCCGAUGACCCGACCCGAUGUCCUCAGGGAUCCGCGUGUUUUUGCGGAGAGGGGGUAUUUUCACGUUAAGUCCCUCCUUUUGGCAUUGACAUUCAAUUGGGCCCAUUUAUAUUUUCUUUAUUUUUUUAAAUUAUCUCUGUAAUUUGCACAUAAAUUCAAUUUAGUCCGAACCUAAACGCUGCGUUUUGGGGGCAGGGAUUAAUUUCCCAAUUGAUCCUUGCGCUUUUACGUGCAUUAUAUUUUGGUCCUUGUACGCAUAUUUCUUUGUUUUUCUUCCUAAUUUUAUUUUUCUUCUGAUUUAAUCCCUAGUUCGUUGGAUUUUAAUCCUUUUUUAUAUAUUUGUUAUUUAUUUAUUUAUCUUAAUAUUUUAGGUAUUGUUUAUUUAAAAUCGUUUUGUUCCUUUUAUUAUUAUAUAUUAUUUGAUUCAUUAAAUAUUAUCUCUUAUGUAUAUUAUAUAGUUUUAAUAUUUUUUAAUUGUAAUUUAAAAUUUGUUAUAGUCUUU
rnacentral:lncRNA from 1 species